UCCUCCGUGGCGCAAUUGGCUAGCGCGUCUGACUGUUACUUUGCAGUGAUCAGGAGGUUCGUGGUAAGUAAAUCGAGCUCAGACCAUACCUCUCACAUGUGGUUAAUUUAUCCCAGGUUCGAGCCCACGCGGGGGAG